UACGGAGGGUGCAAGCGUUAAUCGGAAUUAUUGGGCGUAAAGCGCGCGCAGGCGGCCUCUUAAGUCUGAUGUGAAAGCCGCCGGCUCAACCGGGGAGGGCCAUUGGAAACUGGGAGGCUUGAGUCAAGGAGCGAAGAGUGGAAUUCCAUGUGUAGCGGUGAAAUGCGUAGAGAUGCGGAGGAACACCAGUGGCGAAGGCGACUCUUUGGCCUAUAACUGACGCUGAGGCGCGAAAGCGUGGGGAGCAAACAGG
rnacentral:misc_RNA from 1 species